GGGCGCUUAGUUUAGCUCGGUUAGAAUCUUCCCUUAGCAAGGGAGGGAUCGUGGGUUCAAAUCCCACAGCGUCCA
rnacentral:tRNA from 1 species